rnacentral:rRNA from 1 species
UAACGCGUGAGGAACCUGCCUUCCAGAGGGGGACAACAGUUGGAAACGACUGCUAAUACCGCAUGACGCAUGACCGGGGCGAUCCCGGGCAUGUCAAAGAUUUUAUCGCUGGAAGAUGGCCUCGCGUCUGAUUAGCUAGAUGGUGGGGUAACGGCCCACCAUGGCGACGAUCAGUAGCCGGACUGAGAGGUUGACCGGCCACAUUGGGACUGAGAUACGGCCCAGACUCCUACGGGAGGCAGCAUG